AGAGUUUGAUCCUGGCUCAGGAUGAACGCUGGCGGCGUGCCUAAUACAUGCAAGUCGAACGCAUCACUUUGGUGAUGAGUGGCGAACGGGUGAGUAAUACAUAAGUAACCUGGCCCAUACAGGGGGAUAACUGCUGGAAACGGCAGCUAAGACCGCAUACGUGUAGAGAUCGCAUGAACUCUAUAUGAAAAGUGCCAAGGCACUGGUAAGGGAUGGACUUAUGGCGCAUUAGCUAGUUGGCAGGGUAAAGGCCUACCAAGGCGACGAUGCGUAGCCGACCUGAGAGGGUGACCGGCCACACUGGGACUGAGACACGGCCCAGACUCCUACGGGAGGCAGCAGUAGGGAAUUUUCGGCAAUGGGGGAAACCCUGACCGAGCAACGCCGCGUGAAGGAAGAAGUAACUCGUUAUGUAAACUUCUGUCAUAGAGGAAGAACGGUGGAUAUAGGGAAUGAUAUCCAAGUGACGGUACUCUAUAAGAAAGCCACGGCUAACUACGUGCCAGCAGCCGCGGUAAUACGUAGGUGGCGAGCGUUAUCCGGAAUUAUUGGGCGUAAAGAGGGAGCAGGCGGCACUAAGGGUCUGUGGUGAAAGAUCGAAGCUUAACUUCGGUAAGCCAUGGAAACCGUAGAGCUAGAGUGUGUGAGAGGAUCGUGGAAUUCCAUGUGUAGCGGUGAAAUGCGUAGAUAUAUGGAGGAACACCAGUGGCGAAGGCGACGAUCUGGCGCAUAACUGACGCUCAGUCCCGAAAGCGUGGGGAGCAAAUAGGAUUAGAUACCCUAGUAGUCCACGCCGUAAACGAUGAGUACUAAGUGUUGGGGGUCAAACCUCAGUGCUGCAGUUAACGCAAUAAGUACUCCGCCUGAGUAGUACGUUCGCAAGAAUGAAACUCAAAGGAAUUGACGGGGGCCCGCACAAGCGGUGGAGCAUGUGGUUUAAUUCGAGGCAACGCGAAGAACCUUACCAGGUCUUGACAUCGAUCUAAAGGCUCCAGAGAUGGAGAGAUAGCUAUAGAGAAGACAGGUGGUGCAUGGUUGUCGUCAGCUCGUGUCGUGAGAUGUUGGGUUAAGUCCCGCGACGAGCGCAACCCCUGUUGCCAGUUGCCAGCAUUAAGUUGGGGACUCUGGCGAGACUGCCGGUGACAAGCCGGAGGAGGCGGGGAUGACGUCAAAUCAUCAUGCCCCUUAUGACCUGGGCUACACACGUGCUACAAUGGACAGAGCAGAGGGAAGCGAAGCCGCGAGGUGGAGCGAAACCCAGAAAACUGUUCUCAGUUCGGACUGCAGUCUGCAACUCGACUGCACGAAGAUGGAAUCGCUAGUAAUCGCGAAUCAGAAUGUCGCGGUGAAUACGUUCCCGGGUCUUGUACACACCGCCCGUCA
rnacentral:rRNA from 1 species